GUUUCCCUUUUUUGUAAGUCACUUUGGAUAAAAGCGUCUUCUAAAUGACUGAAU
rfam:Larimichthys crocea isolate SSNF unplaced genomic scaffold scaffold67, whole genome shotgun sequence.